CCUACGGGAGGCAGCAGUGGGGAAUCUUGCGCAAUGGGCGAAAGCCUGACGCAGCCAUGCCGCGUGGAUGAUGAAGGUCUUAGGAUUGUAAAAUCCUUUCACCGGUGAAGAUAAUGACUGUAGCCGGAGAAGAAGCCCCGGCUAACUUCGUGCCAGCAGCCGCGGUAAUACGAAGGGGGCUAGCGUUGCUCGGAAUUACUGGGCGUAAAGGGAGCGUAGGCGGACAUUUAAGUCAGAGGUGAAAUCCCGGAGCUUAACUUCGGAACUGCCUUUGAUACUGGGUGUCUUGAGUGUGAGAGAGGUAUGUGGAACUCCGAGUGUAGAGGUGAAAUUCGUAGAUAUUCGGAAGAACACCAGUGGCGAAGGCGACAUACUGGCUCAUUACUGACGCUGAGGCUCGAAAGCGUGGGGAGCAAACAGGAUUAGAUACCCUGGUAGUCCACGCCGUAAACGAUGAUUGCUAGUUGUCGGGAAGCUUGCUUCUCGGUGACGCNGCUACGCAUAGACAUCCGCCGUGGGAGGUACGGUCGCAGAUAACUACAAGAAGUAGAGCGNGAGACGNGCGACGACGACGACGAGGGAGGAG
rnacentral:rRNA from 1 species